ACAUGCAAGUGUAGGAAUCUGAAAAGUGACCGACCUUCGGGGAGCUUGCACAGGUGCUGCAUGGCUGUCGUCAGCUCGUGUCGUGAGAUGUUCGGUUAAGUCCGCUAACGAGCGCAACCCUCACUGUGUGUUAUACGUGUCACACGGGACUGCCGGUUUUAAGCCGGAGGAAGGCGGGGAUGACGUCAAGUCAGCAUGGCCUUUAUAUCCUGGGCUACACACACGCUACAAUGGUCUGUACAAUAGGUUGCCAAGCCGCGAGGCGGAGCCAAUCCUUAAAGCAGGCCUCAGUUCAGAUUGUAGGCUGCAACUCGCCUGCAUGAAGAUGGAGUUGCUAGUAACCGCAGGUCAGCUAUACUGCGGUGAAUACGUUCCCGGGUCUU
rnacentral:rRNA from 1 species